GGUAGGAUGGCCGAGUGGUCUAAGGCGCUUGAUUCAAGUAUCGGUUGAAUAUUUCGGCGGCAAGCCGCUGCUCCCAAGUUAUCCUGGGUUCGAAUCCCAGUUCUACCA
rnacentral:tRNA from 1 species